GUCAACAUGUAACGCCAUUGGGGGUAGGAAGCCUGGAACUAUUCUCCGAUCCUUGAGCCUUGAGUGCAGCAUGUGAUAAAGGCGGCUCAUUUAAGGCUAAGUGCUCCAAGGUCGCUCACCCUCUGCACUUUGUCCAGUUGGGGACCCUUACCACAAUCAAAUCAGACGCCUGCAAGAAUUAUAAAUAUCGGGAGACUUACAAGUUUGAGAAAACGAUGUAGGAAUCUCGGUGUUUUUCUGGGCCAUCCCAUUUCAUGUAGAUUGCUGUCCCAUGUGAAGACAAGCAAACACUGCCUGUUAGACACAACAGAGGUGGUGCUGUCUAUGUGAUGAGUUAUGGCCUGAGUGAUACUUCCAUCAUGGAGUCAGUUGUGCUAAGGUCUGGCGGCCUUUUGAGGUCUGGGGCUCUGUUGCAAAACAAUUUGUCCUCUGACUUCUACACAUACACUCUGGCACAUGUGUGUCCCCCAUCAACAAAGGAAUAUGGGUAUUUAUCUAUAUAUUUUUAAAAACAUAAAAGACUGAACUGGUAAAAUAUUCUCUGGUGAUAAAAUAACCCCUUUUCUCCUUCAAGUACCUUUUAUCCAAGUAUCUUGCCACAACCACGGAACAGAAACUAAGACGGGGGUAGAAUAACUUUUGCAUGUGCAAUGAUUCCUGCUGAUUUGCUUGCACACGAUUUCUUCCACACUUUCCCUUUUCUCUGCCUCAUGAGAUCAAAUGCCACCAGCCCAUACAGAACUUUGAAUUUGCUUGAUAAAUUUGCAGGAGCCUUGGCAAAAGGACCUAAGCAGUCAGGAGAAACUGGCAUUGUAAAGGCUAUGUUGAAGUUACCAAAAUAAAGGACUGGAUAAUUUGG